rnacentral:lncRNA from 1 species
UGUGUCUAGACAUGUAGUUUUUCAUGAAACUUACUUCCCAUUUAAAACCCCUAAUACAUUUGCACCUGAACCUGAAAACACAACUCCCAUGGCCUGUCCCACCUAUGAUGAUCCACCUAUCCAACCUAUUUCCUCUUCCAUAACUCAUGACAGGAUUUCACCUCAAUCCCAAAUACAGCCUGCUGUUGAUACACCUCAGCAGUUG